CUUAACUGUUCGAACACCGAGGGGACUGCCAGACUUGGGACCGGGAGAGGUCAGAGGUACUCCAGGGGUAGGGGCUAAAUCCUGUAAUCCUUGGAGGACCACCAGUGGCGAAGGCGUCUGACUAGAACGGAUCCGACGGUAAGGGACGAAACCCUGGGGCGCAAACCGGAUUAGAUACCCGGGUAGUCCAGGGCGUAAACGCUGCAGGCUUGGUGUUGGGGACCCUACGAGGGUGCCCAGUGCCGGAGUGAAGAUGUUAAGCCUGCCGCUUGGGGAGUACGUCCGCAAGGAUGAAACUUAAAGGAAUUGGCGGGAGAGCACUGCAACGGGAGGAGCGUGCGGUUCAAUUGGAUUCAACGCCGGAAAACUCACCGGGAGCGACGAUUACAUGAAGGUCAGGCUGACGACCUUACCUGAUUUUUCGAGAGGUGGUGCAUGGCCAUCGUCAGUUCGUACCGUAAGGCGUUCUGUUAAGUCAGAUAACGAACGAGACCCUCGCCCUUAAUUGCCAACCCAUUCUCCGGAGUGGGCGCACAUUAGGGGGACCGCUGGCGCUAAGUCAGAGGAAGGAGAGGUCAACGGUAGGUCAGUAUGCCCCGAAUCUCCCGGGCUACACGCGCGCUACAAAGGAUAGGACAAUGGGAUGCGAUACCGAAAGGUAAAGCGAACCCCGAAACCUAUUCGUAGUUCGGACUGAGGGCUGUAACUCGCCCUCACGAAGCUGGAUUCCGUAGUAAUCGCGGGUCAACAUCCCGCGGUGAAUAUGCCCCUGCUCUUUGCACACACCGCCCGUCAAACCACCCGAGUUGGGUCUGAGUGAAGGUACUCUUUUUGGAGUGCUUGAACUUGGGUUCAGCAAGGAGGGUUAAGUCGUACAAGGUAUCUGUAGGGGAACCUGCAGAUGGAUCACCUCCU
rnacentral:rRNA from 1 species